rnacentral:rRNA from 1 species
AGAGUUUGAUCCUGGCUCAGGACGAACGCUGGCGGCGUGCCUAACACAUGCAAGUCGAGCGAUCGGCUCGGGAGGGGUAACCCACCCGAGUACGGAGCGGCGAACGGGUGAGUAACACGUGGGCAACCUGCCCCAGGCUCUGGAACAACCCCGGGAAACCGGGGCUGAUGCCGGAUACUCUCGUGGCCUCGCAUGGGGCCUCGAGGAAAGCUCCGACGGCCUGGGAUGGGCCCGCGGCCUAUCAGCUAGUUGGUGGGGUAACGGCCCACCAAGGCGACGACGGGUAGCUGGCGUGAGAGCGUGGCCAGCCACACUGGGACUGAGACACGGCCCAGACUCCUACGGGAGGCAGCAGUGGGGAAUCUUGCACAAUGGGCGAAAGCCUGAUGCAGCGACGCCGCGUGGGGGAUGAAGGCCCUCGGGUUGUAAACCCCUUUCGGCAGGGAAGAAGCCGCAAGGUGACGGUACCUGCAGAAGAAGCCCCGGCCAACUACGUGCCAGCAGCCGCGGUAAGACGUAGGGGGCGAGCGUUGUCCGGAUUCACUGGGCGUAAAGAGCGCGUAGGCGGCUCGUUAAGUCGGAUGUGAAAAACCCGGGGCUCAACCCCGGGCCUGCACCCGAUACUGGCGGGCUGGAGGCAGGUAGGGGAGAGUGGAAUUCCCGGUGU